CUUAGUACUCAGAUCGCAAGAAAUGAGGUCAAGGAAAAAAGUGCAUUUUUACCAAAGUAAUUUUGACAAUCGAGCUUGAGAGCAGAAACAGAAAAAGAAGAAGAAAAUUAUCGACGAAAUGUUUGUUUACAAACAAAUUCGGAUUAUUUUUUAGUUUUCUUGUCGUGCAGAGCGGAAUAUUUUAGGAUCCUACCAGAUCCUGCGGGCUAGCCAAUACACUACAGUAGCACCAGCAGCGCUGGUAGUGGAAGUACCCUCAACAGUAGGACCGGAAGCAGCAACGACAAGAAUUCCUCGCCGUCGGAACCGAUUCAAGCCGAUCCAGUUCUACGAUAUCGGCAAGUGCGACCAUCUGUGUCACUUCGAGUAUUCCACCCGGAUUCGGGUGCUGUGUCGGCAGAACGAUUGUCCCAUCUGUCGGCGGAAGUUGGCUAAGGUAAUCUUCUCGAAGACGCUGGAAGAAUCAGUCCGAGUUGAACGAUAAGUAGUAUCGGAUCUGCUCCACGGACGGAAAGGUGCAGCAGGCGUUUUUUGAGCUGCUGGACAAUAAGUGUCCCAGGUGCGACGAGAAGAACUUCUCCAAGUUCGACAUCCUGAGCAUGUCCGCAAGCGGCACGAGCUGUUCUAUUGCGACAUCUGCACAGAGCACCUGAAGAUCUUCUCAUCAGAAUGUCGGUGCCACUCCCGGCAGAACCUGGCCAUCCACCAGCGGGUCGGCGAUCCGGACAUCGGGGCCAUCCGCUUUGCGAGUACUGCGACAAAUUGUUCCUGGUCAAGGACGAACUGUUUCGGCAUCUGCGGAAGGACCACAUUUUCUGCCACUUUUGCGGCGCCGAUGGAACCAACUACUUCUACGGUGACUAUGAAUCGUUGCAGAAUCACUUCCGACAGGAGCACUACCUGUGCGAAGAGGGCGAAUGCGAGCAAGAACAGUUUACGGCGGUGUUUCGAUCGGAGAUAACCUGCGGGUGCAUCGAGCUUCAGCCCACGGCAACAGUAUGAAUAAGCUGGCCAAUAAACAGACCAGGGCUUUAGAAUUGGAGUUCAGUUACGGUCAUUCCGGUUUGCGACCUUCGGGAAGUGGCCCCGGCGAUGGCCGAAAUCGUGGUGGAGGAAAUAGCGAUCGCGGGGGUGGCGGUGGACACCGCGGAGGCUAUGGCACUCAGAUUUCAAUGCGUUUUUGUCUCCGGUAGCUGUGUGGAUGAGAGGAAAUUUUGAAGAUCACACCGAUUGGUUCCUCAGUGCCACCGGGACUGUCUGGAAGAGGCGGAAGCAAGACAUGUAUCCUGAGCACUACUUCAUCCCAUCCAAACUGGAAUUGUCUCCAGCCAAUGAGAUCCUAGUGAAAACACCCUAUAGCCUAAGAUGCAGAAACUAUGUGCUGGAGGAAGGAAGCGAUUUGCAGCUGGUGAUCCAAGCAAAUGAGUGUCCACGGUAUGAUCAUUUGGUGCUGAUUGGACGCACGAUUCGGUUCAUUUUGCUUCCGGAUCACGAAAUAGGAAGGUGAUUUUAUAAUGUAGGAAGGACUUAAAGCAGACUUGCUGGAUUGGAAAGGAGAAUUUGUGACUGAUAGCAUUUGAAAGAAGUAAAGAGAAUCCAGUAUUUUGAUCAAUGGUUUAUGAAAUAUAAAUGUAUUGUGGUUUGCCUUCAUAUAUAAAAAUUACUAAAAAUACUAAUAAACUGAAAGCUUCAAUAUGUAGGAGUAAGAACUGAUCUGUUAUUACAGCUAGUUAAAAUAUAUAUUAAGUGUAUGUAUA